GACGAACGCUGGCGGCGUGCCUAAUACAUGCAAGUAGAACGCUGAAGGAAGGAGCUUGCUCUUUCCGGAUGAGUUGCGAACGGGUGAGUAACGCGUAGGUAACCUGCCUGGUAGCGGGGGAUAACUAUUGGAAACGAUAGCUAAUACCGCAUAACAGUAGAUAUCGCAUGAUAGCUGCUUGAAAGGUGCAAAUGCACCACUACCAGAUGGACCUGCGUUGUAUUAGCUAGUUGGUGAGGUAACGGCUCACCAAGGCAACGAUACAUAGCCGACCUGAGAGGGUGAUCGGCCACACUGGGACUGAGACACGGCCCAGACUCCUACGGGAGGCAGCAGUAGGGAAUCUUCGGCAAUGGACGGAAGUCUGACCGAGCAACGCCGCGUGAGUGAAGAAGGUUUUCGGAUCGUAAAGCUCUGUUGUAAGAGAAGAACGAGUGUGAGAGUGGAAAGUUCACACUGUGACGGUAUCUUACCAGAAAGGGACGGCUAACUACGUGCCAGCAGCCGCGGUAAUACGUAGGUCCCGAGCGUUGUCCGGAUUUAUUGGGCGUAAAGCGAGCGCAGGCGGUUAGAUAAGUCUGAAGUUAAAGGCUGUGGCUUAACCAUAGUACGCUUUGGAAACUGUUUAACUUGAGUGCAAGAGGGGAGAGUGGAAUUCCAUGUGUAGCGGUGAAAUGCGUAGAUAUAUGGAGGAACACCGGUGGCGAAAGCGGCUCUCUGGCUUGUAACUGACGCUGAGGCUCGAAAGCGUGGGGGAGCAAACAGG
rnacentral:rRNA from 1 species